AUUGAACGCUGGCGGCAGGCCUAACACAUGCAAGUCGAACGAGUGGCGGACGGGUGAGUAAUGUCUGGGAAACUGCCUGAUGGAGGGGGAUAACUACUGGAAACGGUAGCUAAUACCGCAUACCAUCGGAUGUGCCCAGAUGGGAUUAGCUAGUAGGUGGGGUAAAGGCUCACCUAGGCGACGAUCCCUAGCUGGUCUGAGAGGAUGACCAGCCACACGGGAACGGAGACACGGUCCAGACUCCGACGGGGGGAAGCAGUGGGGAAUAUGGCACAAUGGGCGCAAGCCGGAUGCAGAAAGGCCGGGUGGAUGAAGAAGGCUUUCGGGUUGUAAAGUACUUUCAGCGGGGAGGCGUUACCCGCAGAAGAAGCACCGGCUAACUCCGUGCCAGCCGCCGCGGUAAUAC
rnacentral:rRNA from 1 species